UGGUGUACUUUCUGAUCUCUUGCUCUGAGACCAUGUGAACGACUAAACUGUGCACUGAUGAAUAUGUGUGCGUAAUCUGGACAUAUACAUGCUGGGGUAUUUGAAUAAGUGCCAGGACCUCCAUUUCUUUCAUCCCCCAAAAAGUUCAGACUCUGAUCAGCAGCAUUACAGAAUCCCUGGACCCGGCACAAAGGCUUGUUGCUAGCACAUCCUGGCCUUCACACUUUCCCACCUGGUAGUAUUCAGGAGGGCUAGGUGCCCUGCAUGCCUCGGUUUGUGGUGGGGAUGGUGGCACUGGCCUAAUAACCUGACUCACCUUCCCUUCCCCCAUUCCAGCUGGCUGCAUUAUGUGUGGCUGUCUGUGGUGAGAGCAAGGCAACUUUUCCCCAGGCAGGCUUCUGUACAGAGUGGGACAGUACACAAUUGACCUCAACUGAGCCCUCCUUUGGCAAACAUUGCAUCCCCUUUCAGUGGUCGCUGAGGCAGUGACAGGACACAGGGUCCCCUGCUCCUGAUGCGACUGUCGACUGGGGAUGACUGUAACCAGUGCACCCUGACCCGAUUGCGUUUCGCCACCAGGCGGGGAGUCCCACAAAUGGCACCAGGGGUCUGAGGUGAUUUUGUUUGCCCACCGACUCAUCUUGAAACAUGGACAAAGGAGUCUAACAUGUGCGCGAGUCAGUGGAGUAAUGAAGGUGAGGACAGGCAAAUGCUGGCUGAGGUGGGAUCCUGUUGCAGUAUCUUGGCAGGCCCACCACCGGCCUUUCUCGCCCGCGCUUUCAGGGGAGGUGGUUAAUGAGCAUAUGUGAUAGCACCCGAAAGAUGGAGAAGAAUUUUUGGGCAGGAUGGAACCAGAGGAAACGCUGGUGGAGGUCCAUAGCGGUCCUUAUUUGCAAAUCGGUCACCCGAACGGGGUAUAUCGGCAACAGGCUAAUUGAAGCAUAUAGUAGCUGGUUCCAUCUGAAGUUUCCCUCAGGAUAGUUGGCACUAGGAAACCUCAGUUUUAUCUAGUAAAGUGAAUGAUUAGAGGUCUUUGGGCUAAAACAAUCUCAACCUAUUAUCAAACUUUAAAAGGGUGAGAAGCCUGGCUCACUGGCAUGGAGCAGGGCAUCGAAUGUGAGUGCCCAUUGGGCCACUUUUGGUAAGUAGAACUAAUGCUGCGGGAGGAAUGGAAUGCCGGAUUAAGGCACCCAAUGUCAAUGCUUAUCAGAUCACAGAAAAGUUGUUGGUUGAUACAGACAGCAGGACGGUGGCUAUGGAAGUUGGAAUCCAAUGAGGCAUUUGUAACAACUCACCAGCUGAAUCAACUAGCCCUGAAGAUGAAUGGUGCUGGAGUGUCGGGCCCAUACUCGUCGUCAACGUCACUGAGAGCUGUGUAGCCUAAGCCAAAAAAAUAGGAAGGCUGCUGCAGUGCACAUGGAAGGUACAGAUCUUGGUGGUAGUAAAAAAUAUUCAAACAAGAACUUUGAACACCAAAGUGGAGCAGGGUUCCAUGUGAACAGCAGUUGAACAUGGGUCAGUUGGGUCGAAGAGAUGGGUGAGUGCAAUUCGGAAGGGAUGGGUGAUGGCCUCUGUUGCCCUCUGCUAAUAGAAAGGGAUUUGGAGUAGCUUAGACGGUCACUGCACAACAUCCAGUGCAAUAACGCAAACAAUCUGGUAGAAGCCGGUGGGAACGCAGAGGAGAGUUGUCUCUUCUGUGUGAAUGGCAUGACACCCUGGAAUGGAUUUGCCCCAAGAGAGGGGCCAGAGCUUUGUAAUGCAUUGCGGUUCCGGCAGCACCCAGUGAAAUCUCAUUUGUCCUUGAAAAUCCAGAGGUGAUGGUGUAAAUCUCUCACCGAGCCGUACCCAAAUCCACAGGUUUCCAAAUUGAACAGCCUCUGGCAUUUUGUAACAAUGUAGGUAAGCGAAGUCGGCAAGUCAGAUCUGUAACUUCUGCAUGAGUUUUGGCUUUAAGAGCUGCAUUGGUCUGGCUGUGGCGUGAAGUGGGGCUGGGUGUGUGCCAUGGCUGCAAGAGAAAUCCCCCCACCCCAACUCUGGACACGAGUCGGCCCCUUCUGUGGAUUGUCCCAGCUCUGUUGGUGAACUCUCUCUGUUCCCCUCGCAGGGAUUGGGGCCAGCGUGUUGCCUCAGACAACGCCUAUGAGCUGACUCAGAAUUGGUGUGGACAAGGGGAAUCCAAUUGUUUAAUUUCAACAAAGCAUCACAAAGGCCCUUAGCAGGUGUUGAUGCAAUGUGAUUUAUGACCAGUGUUAUGAAUAUUAAAGUGUAGAAUUCAAUGAAGCGCAGGUAAACUGCAGGAGUAGCUAUAACUGUCUUAAGGUAGCCAAAUCCUCAUCAUCAAAUUGGUGACACAAAUAAAUGGAUGAAUGAGAUUCCCACUGUCCCUACCUAUUAUCUAGCAAAGCCACAGCCAAGGGUAAAGGACUGCCAGAGUCAGUGGGGGAAGGAGACCCAGUUGAACUUGACUCUAGUCUGGUGCUGUGAAGAGACGUGAGAGGUGUAGGAUAAGUUGGAGGCCCUCAGGCCACCUCUGAAGUAACACUACUCAUAGUUUUUUAUUACUUACCCGUGAGACUGAGGGCAAGCCCUUGGGUUUCUGGCUUCUGUCUGCAAGGUCCCGGUGACAACAAGGGCAUGACCCACUCUGGGUAAGGUGGCAGGUUGGGGGUUUGACUGGGGAGGUACACCUGUCAAAUGAUAGCACAAGUUUGCUAAGGCAAGUUCAAGGAGGCAGAAACCUCUGGUGUAGCCGAAGGGCAAAAGCUUGCUUGAUCUCAAUGUUCUGUAAGAAUACAGACCAAGAAAGUGGGGCCCUACGGUCCUACUGGUGUUUUGGGUUUCAAUCAGGAGAUGUCCAAAAAGUUACCAAAGGGAGAACUGGCUUGUGGUGGCCAAGUGUCAUAGUGAUGUUGCUUUUUGAUCCUUCGAUAUCGGCUCUUCCGAUCAUUAUGAAGCAGAAUUCACCAAGUUUUGCAUUGUUCACCCACUAAAAGGGAAUGUGAGCUGCGUCUUGACUGUCAUGAGACAGAUUAUUUUUACCCUCUUGAUGAAGUGUUGUCGCAAUGGUAAUCCUGCUCAAUACAAGAGGAACCACAGGUUCAGACUUGGUGUAUGUGCUUGGCUGAGGAGGCAAUGGGGUGAAGCUACCAUCUGUGGGAUUGUAACUGAUCUCCUCUUAGUCACAACCCCCCUAAACUGUAACAAUACUGCAGUGCCUUGAAGCCUCGGUUGGUGUAGUAGGCCUCUGGGCCAGUGCAUAGAGCUGCUUGCCUCGGGACUCGAGUCUGGAUAGAAGUGGGCCGCCUCUCUCACCCAUAGUGCACGGCAUGCUCGGGGGGAACCUGGUGUUAAAUCAUUUGUUGAUGACCUGAUUCUGGGUUAAGGUUUUUAAAGUAGCAGAGCAGCUACCUCACUGCGGUCUAUUGAAAUUCAUCCUAUGAGCCAAGCUUUCAAAGGCACCACUACA
rnacentral:rRNA from 1 species